rnacentral:rRNA from 1 species
CUACGGGCUGCUCCAGUGGGGAAUAUUGCACAAUGGGCGCAAGCCUGAUGCAGCAACGCCGCGUGAGGGAUGAAGGCCUUCGGGUUGUAAACCUCUUUUAGCAGGGAAGAAGCGAAAGUGACGGUACCUGCAGAAAAAGCACCGGCUAACUACGUGCCAGCAGCCGCGGUAAUACGUAGGGUGCAAGCGUUGUCCGGAAUUAUUGGGCGUAAAGAGCUCGUAGGCGGUUUGUCACGUCUGCUGUGAAAAUCCAAGGCUCAACCUUGGACUUGCAGUGGGUACGGGCAGGCUAGAGUGCGGUAGGGGAGAUGGGAAUUCCUGGUGUAGCGGUGGAAUGCGCAGAUAUCAGGAGGAACACCAAUGGCGAAGGCACAUCUCUGGGCCGUAACUGACGCUGAGGAGCGAAAGCGUGGGGAGCGAACAGGAUUAGAUACCCUUGUAGUC